rnacentral:rRNA from 1 species
GAUGAACGCUGGCGGCGUGCAUAACACAUUCAAGUCGAACGAGGUAGCAAUACCUAGUGGCGGACGGGUGAGUAACGCGUGAGCAACCUGCCCUUGUNUGGGGGAUACCGUCUGGAAACGGACGUUAAUACCGCAUAACGUAGUGAGAUCGCAUGGUCUUAUUACCAAAGAUUUAUCGCUGAAAGAUGAGCUCGCGUCUGAUUAGAUAGUUGGUGAGGUAACGGCUCACCAAGUCGACGAUCAGUAGCCGGACUGAGAGGUUGAACGGCCACAUUGGAACUGAGAAACGGUCCAGACUCCUACGGGAGGCAGCAGUGGGGAAUAUUGGGCAAUGGGCGCAAGCCUGACCCAGCAACGCCGCGUGAAGGAAGAAGGCCUUCGGGUUGUAAACUUCUUUUGGCAGGGACGAAUAAAAUGACGGUACCUGCAGAAUAAGCCACGGCUAACUACGUG